GGAACAGUCCUAAGUCUAGCAUGAAGCAGGGAAGAUCAGAUAAGUUUCAUAUCUGCAAGUUUUACUGCUCUGGGCUCUAGACUUCUGUAGUGAAUUCAGGAUCUUAAAGAGAAAUAUCUAAUCCAAAUAUCUAAUCCAAACCUCUCCUGGAGCAAUUUGAGCACUUCUGUCAAAAGAACUGGAGUGACACUGCC